UACGUAGGGUGCAAGCGUUAUCCGGAAUUAUUGGGCGUAAAGAGCUCGUAGGCGGUUUGUCGCGUCUGCUGUGAAAACUGGGGGCUCAACCCCCAGCCUGCAGUGGGUACGGGCAGACUAGAGUGCGGUAGGGGAGAUUGGAAUUCCUGGUGUAGCGGUGAAAUGCGCAGAUAUCGGGAGGAACACCAGUAGCGAAGGCGGCACUCUGGGCCGGAACUGACGCUGAGGAGCGAAAGCGUGGGGAGCAAACAGG
rnacentral:rRNA from 1 species